CGUCACUUUGGAGCGAAAGAUUUCAAACGACUCUUUUGAGGAAUACUUGAGGGCCGAAAUGUUGUCGUUUCUCUCAUAACAGUGUACAAUUUAGCCAGCUGUUUUUAAAUAUAGCGUUUUGUGGACUGUUCACAGUCCCUGGUCUAAAGAUGAAAGGCUUGGAAAUGUCCGCUAUGAUACCUGCACUGCAGGAGCUAGCGAGGUGGAUGGUAACAGUACUCUCAGUAUGGGGUCCAUUUCUCUCUCUCUGUAUUCCAGGUGGAUGGUAACAGUACUCUCAGUAUGGGGUCCAUGUCUCUCUCUCUGUAUUCCAGGUGGAUGGUAACAGUACUCUCAGUAUGGGGUCCAUUUCUCUCUCUCUGUAUUCCAGGUGGAUGGUAACAGUACUCUCAGUAUGGGGUCCAUUUCUCUCUCUCUGUAUUCUAGGUGGAUGGUAACAGUAGUAGUCUCAGUAUGGGGUCCAUUUCUCUCUCUCUGUAUUCCAGGUGGAUGGUAACAGUAGUACUCUCAGUAUGGGGUCCAUUUCUCUCUCUCUCUGUAUUCCAGGUGCAUGGUAACAGUAGUACUCUCAGUAUAGGGUCCAUUUCUCUCUCUCUGUAUUCCAGGUGGAUGGUAACAGUAGUACUCUCAGUAUGGGGUCCAUUUCUCUCUCUCUCUGUAUUCCAGGUGCAUGGUAACAGUAGUACUCUCAGUAUGGGGUCCAUUUCUCUCUCUCUGUAUUCCAGGUGGAUGGUAACAGUAGUACUCUCAGUAUGGGGUCCAUUUCUCUCUCUCUGUAUUCCAGGUGGAUGGUAACAGUACUCUCAGUAUGGGGUCCAUUUCAAGCAGUUGAAGCGUCUGGUGGAGGAGCCAUCGUUCAGCCAGAUCCUGAUCCCUCUGCAGUCUGUCCUCAUCCCCACACUGCCCUCUACUGGCCCUGCAAACACACUGCACCACUACGCAUUCCCCGGACACUGGGCCUACCUUCAUGGCUUUGACGAUACUGUGUGUGUGGGGGGGAGAGGUGGAGAUCCUAGCCUCCCUCCAGGAGCCCAAGAAGAUCGGCCUGAAGGGACGUGAUGGGAGGAGCUACACUGUGAUGUGUAAACCUAAAGAUGACCUCCGGAAAGACUGUCGCCUCAUAGAAUUCAACUGCCUCAUCAACAAGUGUACUGAAGAUAUUUCUCCCAUGACCCUCUGGUAGAGUGGAGUAAACCCAAAGGACGAUCCAAGACACAGGCCAGUGAGAAUGGAGAGAUAGUCAACGAGAAGGCCAAGACCCAUGUGUGUGAGAUUGAUCAGCGUUUGCAGGGCGUGAUAAAGAGUCGUAACAAGGUGUUGGGUCUGCCUCUGUCUAUAGAGGGACACGUCCACUACCUGAUACAGGAGGCUACCGACGACUGUGUCAGAUGUACCUGGGCUGGGGACCUUACCUGUGAUUCACAUGGCUUCUCUGAGACACUGUUUACAAUGUUCAAUAUUUGACUUGUUCUGUUAUCAAUUAAAUUCUCUUCCUUUUUCAUGUUUUUGUAAAUCUGGAGUAAUUGUUAUGUUUUUCAUGGGGCAGUUGCAAAUUUUACCGUAAUAAAAAAAUAUAUAUUUUCUGAAA